GCCAGACUCCUACGGGAGGCAGCAGUGGGGAAUAUUGCACAAUGGGGGAAACCCUGAUGCAGCGACGCCGCGUGAGUGAAGAAGUAUCUCGGUACGUAAAGCUCUAUCAGCAGGGAAGAAAAUGACGGUACCUGACCAAGAAGCCCCGGCUAACUACGUGCCAGCAGCCGCGGUAAUACGUAGGGGGCAAGCGUUAUCCGGAUUUACUGGGUGUAAAGGGAGCGUAGACGGCAGCGCAAGUCUGGAGUGAAAUGCCGGGGCCCAACCCCGGAACUGCAUUGGGAACUGGCGCGCUGGAGUGCCGGAGGGGUAGGCGGAAUUCCUAGUGUAGCGGUGAAAUGCGUAGAUAUUAGGAGGAACACCAGUGGCGAAGGCGGCCUACUGGACGGUGACUGACGCUGAGGCUCGAAAGCGUGGGGAGCAAACAGGAUUAGAUACCCUAGUA
rnacentral:rRNA from 1 species